rnacentral:rRNA from 1 species
UACGUAGGGGGCAAGCGUUGUCCGGAAUUAUUGGGCGUAAAGAGCGUGUAGGCGGUCCGGUAAGUCCGCUGUGAAAGUCCAGGGCUCAACCCUGGAAUGCCGGUGGAUACUGCCGGGCUAGAGUCCGGAAGAGGCGAGUGGAAUUCCUGGUGUAGCGGUGAAAUGCGCAGAUAUCAGGAGGAACACCUGUGGCGAAAGCGGCUCACUGGGCCGAAACUGACGCUGAGGAGCGAAAGCAUGGGUAGCAAACAGG